CCGAGCUGGUGUACGGAUCUGAUAAGCAAAAAGAAUACAUCGACACAUUUCUUGAAAAAGAAGGUGUACAAUUAGACCCCGCAAAUAUCGCUGUGAACCCAGCGAAAAGACAGAUCGCUAAACUAUUCUUAAAUUUGUUAUGGGGAAAGUUUGCGCAGAGAUCUAAUUUACCCUGUACCAGCAUCGUGAAUAACCCCAAUGAGCUCUUUUGCUAUGUCUUUCUCCCAUACUAUGAGGUUUCUGAGCUAAAUUUUAUCAAUGAUGAAACCGCAUUGAUCAUUUGGAAAUGCGCAAAAGGACACCACACAAUCAACAAAAACGCAAACAUUUUUAUUGCAUGUUUUAAAACAACCUACUCCCUUCUGGACAGACUGCAGGAUAGGUGUCUUUAUCAUGACACAGAUUCUGUCAUUUUUGUUCAUCGUGAAGGUGACGGGCUCCCCCCUUUAGGCGAUUAUUUGGGCGAAUUAACCAGCGAAAUACCAGAUAACACAUACAUCGCAGAAUUUGUAUCUACGGGUACAAACUGAAUACCAGUAAGACGGUAUUAAAGGUUAAGGGGAUCACACUAAACGUUGCUAAUGCUAGGGAUAUUCAUUUUCACAGCCUAAAGGAUUAAGUUCUGGAUUACAUCCUAAACCGUGAUCUUGAAUGUCAGAAAUGUAUAUCUGUGGAGCAACCAGGUUUUGUUAGAAAUAAGAAGUUGUGGCAGAUUGAAACAAGACGAUUGCGCAAAACGCAGAGGUGAAUUAGUUGCUCUUUUAAAGAAGGUCCUGGAUCCUGUUUUUGAAAGGCAGCCAUCACGUGAUUUUGCAACAAGGUCGUUCGGAUUUUAAUGCCAUGGACACCCGCCUACAACACCCUUUUUCAUGCAUUUUUGCAGGUUUAUUGAAGGCCUUCCGCAUAAAUUUGUAGAUGAUGAGUUAUUCCCACUCGACAAGAUCAUGCGGAGAAAAUGUACUUGGUUCCAAAACACAAGCUCAAGAGGAUAAGUCAGGUCUUUACACCACCGGCCGCUGUAAGGCAGAGUGUGAUACAACUCAUGGAUGAUGAAAUUAACGGUAUUUUACAAAGCUCUGACUUGCUGGAUAAUGUAAAGAUGAAAAGAUACACCGAUUUAAUGCAAAGAUACUUGGUUCUUGCCAAGCAGGAGACUAAAGAGCUAGCGACUUUAAACCUUGAUAACCAAUCUGAUCCUGGUCAUCAACAACUGCCAAAUACAACCGCUGAUAAAUAUAAUUCCGUCCUUGAAAUUGCAACACGUCAAUCCCCGUUUUAAGAAAAAUGCUGAACUUCUGUUGCAGGAUGACUCAAAAUGCCAGUGUUACAACGUGGAAUGAUAAAGGUGAAUUUAUUUAUAAGGGUGAUGUUAUUCAUGGUUCUAACAUGAUGGAUCUUGUGCGCAAUGCGACGCAAAGCCACAGACUGCCAAAAAACAAAAACCCACCAGGCUGGGCUGCAUUUUUGCAUAACAUGGCAAACAUAAAUAUGCCAUCUACUAGAGAGGUUCUUGAAUGAGUCAUCUGUAAGUGUCGCACUUAAUCGCACUCUCCUAACCAACUCCUCCACACCUAUGGGUAUAAAACAUGGUAGUCUGUUACCUAAAAGAAGGACAUCGCCAAUGUUACAAUCUGCUUGGUAAAGCUUGUGAAUACUGAUUAUGUGUAGA